UUCUCGUCAAAUUCCUUCCACUGGAAAUUGCCAUCGACUUCGGCGAUCCACUCUUCAUAGGAGAUCGCGUUCUUCAGCGUGGUCUGCGGCAUGUGAGCCUUGUCGGUGAACACGAUGAAGCAUCUUGUCGGCGAUUUUUUCCAGCAGCGGAAUGAAAGUGAGGUCCGUCAUCAUGAUGCGGUCCUGCGCAUGAUUGACGAUCCAGACGAUCUGGUCCGGGAACA
rnacentral:misc_RNA from 1 species